rnacentral:rRNA from 1 species
UGGUGGAGUGAUUUGUCUGGUUAAUUCCGAUAACGAGCGAGACCUCAGCCUGCUAACUAGUUGUGGAAAUCUUCGAUUUCUUUACGCAGCUUCUUAGAGGGACUAUUGGUGAUUAGCCAAUGGAAGUUUGAGGCUAUAACA